UACGGAGGGAGCUAGCGUUGUUCGGAAUUACUGGGCGUAAAGCGCACGUAGGCGGCUUUGUAAGUUAGAGGUGAAAGCCCGGGGCUCAACCCCGGAAUAGCCUUUAAGACUGCAUCGCUUGAAUCCGGGAGAGGUGAGUGGAAUUCCGAGUGUAGAGGUGAAAUUCGUAGAUAUUAGGAAGAACACCAGUGGCGAAGGCGGCUCACUGGCCCGGUACUGACGCUGAGGCGCGAAAGCGUGGGGAGCAAACAGG
rnacentral:rRNA from 1 species